rnacentral:rRNA from 1 species
GACGAACGCUGGCGGCGUGCUUAACGCAUGCAAGUCGAACGGAAAGGCCCUUCGGGGUACUCGAGUGGCGAACGGGUGAGUAACACGUGGGUGAUCUGCCCUGCACUCUGGGAUAAGCCUGGGAAACUGGGUCUAAUACCGAAUAUGAUCAUCGUCUUCAUGGUCGGUGGUGGAAAGCUUUUGCGGUGUGGGAUGGGCCCGCGGCCUAUCAGCUUGUUGGUGGGGUAAUGGCCUACCAAGGCGACGACGGGUAGCCGGCCUGAGAGGGUGACCGGCCACACUGGGACUGAGAUACGGCCCAGACUCCUACGGGAGGCAGCGGUGGGGAAUAUUGCACAAUGGGCGGAAGCCUGAUGCAGCGACGCCGCGUGAGGGAUGACGGCCUUCGGGUUGUAAACCUCUUUCAGCACAGACGAAGCGCAAGUGACGGUAUGUGCAGAAGAAGGACCGGCCAACUACGUG